rnacentral:rRNA from 1 species
UACGUAGGGUGCGAGCGUUGUCCGGAAUUACUGGGCGUAAAGAGCUCGUAGGUGGUUUGUCGCGUUGUUCGUGAAAACCGGGGGCUUAACCCUCGGCGUGCGGGCGAUACGGGCAGACUUGAGUACUGCAGGGGAGACUGGAAUUCCCGGUGUAGUGGUGAAAUGCGUAGAUAUCGGGAGGAACACCAGUGGCGAAGGCGACUACCUGGCCUGUUCUUGACGCUGAGGAGCGAAAGCCAGGGGAGCAAACGGG